rnacentral:misc_RNA from 1 species
GAAAUGCGAUACGUAAUGUGAAUUGCAGAUUUCAGUGAAUCAUCGAAUCUUUGAACGCACAUUGCGCCCGCUAGUAUUCUGGCGGGCAUGCCUGUUCGAGCGUCAUUUCAACCAUCAAGCCCCCGGCUUGCGUUGGAGCCCUGCGGCUGCCGCAGGCUCCCAAAUCCAGUGGCGGGCUCGUCGAUGCCGAAUACGUAAC